GAGAGAGGCUCGCAGCACUGGAGACUGCUAAUUUUCAUGCCCCCGGUUGGACUCCGGGGCUCACUCG
rnacentral:tRNA from 1 species